GAUGAAGAACGUAGUGAAAUGCGAUAAUUAAUGUGAAUUGCAGAAUUCAGUGAAUCAUCGAGUCUUUGAACGCACAUUGCGCCCCCUGGUAUUCCGGGGGGCAUGCCUGUCCGGGCGUCAUUGCUGCCCUCAAGCACGGCUUGUGUGUUGGGCUUCCGUCCCUGGCAACGGGGACGGGCCCAAAAGGCAGUGGCGGCACCAUGUCUGGUCCUCGAGCGUAUGGGGCUUUGUCACCCGCUCCCGUAGGUCCAGCUGGCAGCUAGCCUCGCAACCAAUCUUUUUAACCAGGUUGACCUCGGAUCAGGUAGGGAUACCCGCUGAACUUAAGCAUAUCAAUAAGCGGAGGA
rnacentral:misc_RNA from 1 species